UACGAAGGGGCUAGCGUUGCUCGGAAUCACUGGGCGUAAAGGGUGCGUAGGCGGGUCUUUAAGUCAGGGGUGAAAUCCUGGAGCUCAACUCCAGAACUGCCUUUGAUACUGAAGAUCUUGAGUUCGGGAGAGGUGAGUGGAACUGGCGAGUGUAGAGGUGAAAUUCGUAGAUAUUCGCAAGAACACCAGUGGCGAAGGCGGCUCACUGGCCCGAUACUGACGCUGAGGUGCGAAAGCGUGGGGAGCAAACAGGGAUAGAAACCCCAGUA
rnacentral:rRNA from 1 species